GAUAAACGCUGGCGGCGCACAUAAGACAUGCAAGUCGAACGAACUUAACCAUUAGUUUACUAUUGGAGCGGUUAGUGGCGGACUGGUGAGUAACACGUAAGCAACCUGCCUGUUAGAGGGGAACAACAGUUAGAAAUGACUGCUAAUACCGCAUAUGCCAUAUUGAGGACAUCCUCAAAGUGGGAAAGGAGAAAUCCGCUAACAGAUGGGCUUGCGUCUGAUUAGCUAGUUGGUGUGGUAACGGCAUACCAAGGCAACGAUCAGUAGCCGGACUGAGAGGUUGAACGGCCACAUUGGGACUGAGAUACGGCCCAG
rnacentral:rRNA from 1 species